rnacentral:rRNA from 1 species
ACGCACGCUGGCGGCGUGCUUCACCCAUGCAAGUCGCACGGAAAGGCCCUGCUUGCAGGGUACUCGAGUGGCGAACGGGUGAGUAACACGUGGGUGAUCUGCCCUGCACUUCGGGAUAAGCCUGGGAAACUGGGUCUAAUACCGGAUAGGAGCCAUUUUUAGUGUGAUGGUUGGAAAGUUUUUUCGGUGUAGGAUGAGCUCGCGGCCUAUCAGCUUGUUGGUGGGGUAAUGGCCUACCAAGGCGGCGACGGGUAGCCGGCCUGAGAGGGUGGACGGCCACAUUGGGACUGAGAUACGGCCCAGACUCCUACGGGAGGCAGCAGUGGGGAAUAUUGCACAAUGGGCGCAAGCCUGAUGCAGCGACGCCGCGUGGGGGAUGACGGCCUUCGGGUUGUAAACUCCUUUCGCUAGGGACGAAGCUUUUUGUGACGGUACCUAGAUAAGAAGCACCGGCUAACUACGUG